rnacentral:rRNA from 1 species
AAACCCCUUGAUGCCUCACCUCCGAUUCCCACACACAUCGCUCGGUUUCCCCUCGAUAUCGAGCACACAAACCUCAAGACAGCUUUGCCGGUCGAGCUUCCUUCCAUGGCCAACUUCGGCAACUGCCAAGUACUUCUACCAACCCACUCUUCGUGGAGCAAGACAACGACAUGAACUCCUUCGUCACCAAGAGUCACCUAUUUGGUGCACAACGUGCUUUGCAUCAAGGGCAACAAGCUAUGAGUGAACGCAUCGACAACCUCGCUGCCGACUUGUGAGUCUCUGAGCAACAUACAAGGGACUACUUCGACCACAAGCUCGACGAUCACAAGCAAGAGAAUGACGCAAGGAUGGACGAGAUUCGCGCUUUGUUGCUCAACCGCUCUUCUUCCACUUCAUCCUCAACAAGAAGGACUCGCUCAAGUCGACACUCGGACUUCACCCCCUCCGGCCCAAGUACACCGACAUCAAACACUCUACACCGUCAAGCAAGCCUCAAUCCCCUACACGACACCGACUCUCAAGAGCAUCGACGAUGUCAAACCCAACAGGCUUCUGCGCUAGCAUGAGAACGGCAACGACAACGCCAGCGUGAAGAGGAAGAGUGAGCACGUCUACACCAAGUUGCACAAGAUGCCGAAGAACAACGCCAAGAACAACAACUUCAUGAAGCUCAAGCACUUGCGGCGCAACAAGCCCUCCGAGAUUCAAGUGGAGCCGUAGCCGACUGAGGCCGACAAGCUCGUGAACAAGAAGAAGCACUUCGCGAAGAAAUUCAAGAACGAAGAUUUCAAGCUCGCGUGCAUCGUCAAGUUCCUCCCCGAGCUCGACAAGCUCCUCCACAAGCUCGCCAAGAACAUCAAGUUCAUCAAGAGCAUGAUGACAAUGGAAAUCCUCCAUGACAAGAGCAACAUGAGGUUGAAAAACCUCCUAACCAAGAGUGACACGAGCUUCACAAUCAUCAACAACUUGGACGUCAUCAUCCCCGACCCCAACACAAUGAAGAGAAAUGCUACGGUAAGCUCAAGUUCACCAUGCCCAAGUUCAACGGAAGCAACGAUCCCGAAGAGUACCUAUCAUGGGCAUUGAAAGUUGACAAUAUCUUCCGUUUGCACAACUACGACGAAGAGAAGAAGAUCGCGAUGGCAUCCCUUGAGUUUCAAGAUUAUGUCCUCAUUUGGUGGGAACAAAUUAUCGAGCGCCGAGAGGCAAGAGGUGAACCACCCAUCACUACUUGGGCGCAAAUGAAGGAUGUCAUGAGAGCACGCUUUGUGCCUACCUACUACAACCGCGACCUCUUCAAGAAACUCCAACUACUCAAGCAAGGAACCAAGAGCAUUGAAGAGUACUACAAGGAGAUGGAGAUUGCCAUGAUACGAGCCAAUGUCAUGGAAGAUGAUGAGAAAACUAUGGCACAUUUCUUCAAUGGACUCAACCAUCCUAUCAAGAAGAUCACUGACUUCCAAGCAUACUCGAACCUCAUCGAGCUAGUGCAUCAAGCUACAAAGGCGGAAUGUCAAGUGCAAGACGAUUUCAAGUAUGCCAAGUUCUCAUCCAAGUCCUACGGCUUCUCCAACAACCAAGCUUCAACGACUCCAACACUGUCUAUCAAGCCUUCUACAAGCAACGUCGACAAGUCGAGUUCCAAGAAAGCUUCGGUAACUUCAAGUCAUCCUCCUACUACGAGCAACUUCAAGCCGAGAGCUUCAUCAUCAUCCUCUCCAACCGAUGAGACCGUCAAGACGAGCUCCUUCAAAUGCUUCACAUGCUGAGGCCGAGGCCACAAGUCCUAUGAGUGCACCAACAAGUGAACCAUGAUCCUCAACGACGACGGCACCUACGACUCGAUGAGUGAAGGAGAAAUGGACGCUCUUGAGCAGGUCGCCAUGCACCGGCAAGUGAAUGAUGAAGAGGAACAAGUCUUUUGCGAUGAAGAUUCAAGUCCCGCCCUUGUUGUCUCCAAGGUCUUGACUCUCCAACAUCACCAAGAAGAAGACCAAAGAUGCCACGUAUUCCACACCAAGGGCGACAUCAAUGGAUGAUCCGUCAAGGUCAUCAUCGAUGGAGGGAGUUGUCAUAACCUCACAAGUGAAGAACUUUGCUCCAAGAUCCAAUUGCCCAAGACGAAGCACCCACAUCCAUACAAAGUGCAAUAGCUUAGUGACUCCGGCACCAUCCAAGUCGAGCAUCGAGUACAAGUCUCCUUCAAAAUUGGCGCCUACGAAGACACCUUGGAGUGCGACGUCGUUCCAAUGACCGUUUGCCACCUUCUCCUUGGACGCCCAUGGCAAUUUGGUAGAGGAGUCAUCCACAACGGCCGAACGAACCACUACAAUUUCAAGAUGAAGGGCAAGGAGUACGUCCUUCAUCCAAUGUCGCCAAGCAAAGUGUUCGCCGACAAGCAAGCCACCCAUCGUGGAGAUAAUAGUGAGAGAGCGAGCCAACAAAAAGGGGAUAAUUAGAUUUAUGCCCCUAGUUGUGUCCCACUCGUCUGUUUUACCCCUAAUUCCCAAAAGUCACCGGUUAUGUCCAAGUCACUUUGAUCCUCUUAUGAUUUUGCCCUUUGACCGUUUGACCGU